CAGUCGCACCACGGAAAGAUGCUACAAACGCUGCCUUCCACCCACUGUCUUGAUGACAACCAGCUCAUCGCUGGCCUCAGCCAAACUGAAGGUUGAUAUCGAAUGUGACUACUCCCCACCAGGGCUGUGACUCAGAAACCACCCAGGGCUUCAUUUGCAUUGCUGAGUCACCUCCUGGUUUUGUGAGAUCAGUGGACAUUUCCUGUCCCCUUCUUUGCAAGGACCUGAGUCCCAGUUUUGCCAGCUGGACUUUGAUUGUCAGUUCCUGUUGCUGUUCUCCCUGGGGCUGUCACCCCCGGGCCACCCUCCAGAGCACACACGCCACCCACGUGCCUGAGCGCAGUGUGGCUUUGAGCUGUCGUCUGCCAUGCUAACAGGUUCUGAAGACGAGCAGAAGUUCCACGGUGCCAGAUCUGGUGAAUAAGGUGGAGGAGAACACGCAGUCAUAUUUUUAGGGCCUGCUUUUCCGCUGGGUGGCACCUGCCAGCAGCAUUCUCUCUGUUUUUGAUCACACGUCAUAAUGACACCCAGGGAAGAGGACUCCAGAGCUGCUUCAGACAGCGGUGGCUGAUUAUCCCUGAUAGGACGUGGAUGUGCUCUCGGUCUUUGUGAGUUCCCUGGUUUGAUGGUCAACCCCAGCCCCAACGUCAGGGAAGAAGAAACACAGCAGAGUGUGCCGAGGUGUUGAUCCUUGUCUCCAGGAGGGCAGCUCAGACAUCAGUGAGAUCCUGAUGGUCCAGAGGGGUGAAGACGGAGCCCUGGGAGGAAAGAGCCACCUGGCAGGGACAUGGCAGCCUGCACAGAGGACGAGCAGCGGGUUCUGUCCACUCCACGGCCACAGGGUGGAAGGGGCCUUUGGGGAGUUGGGGCUCCCAGGCAGGGCAGGGUGAGGAGGAGACCCCCGUGCUCCGGGUCCUUCCCCAGAACCAGGUGCAGAACCAGGCUGCGUGCUGUGAGCGGGCAUCAUACCUGCUCUCACCCUAGCAGAGCAUUAGUUAACACAGGGCUCUAAACCACGUGCAGCUCCUCGGGCUCGAGUCAGAGUAGUUCUCACAUGUGCGGCACUGCAGGUAGAGACUUCAUGAAGACUUACGGGAAGUGUAAAACCUCACUUUAACUGUUAAAUGAGAAAGUCUAAAGCCUGAGAAUGGGUGGCAGGGGAGAAUAGAGAAAUGAUUGAUCUGCCAAGCGUCUGAGUCAACAUCACAUUAGAAGACAAAAACACCUGGCUGAAAAAGGCUGGUGGCAAGCAGACGAGGUCUGAGGAGCUCUGGGUCAUGACAGGAGGUCGGAGAGCCCAGCACCAUUGCACUGGAUGGGUCUGCACAAGUCCCCAGCCCGGAAAGAAGAGUUUUUCUCAGUAGAUUAUAGGGGUUGAUGCAAGAAAGGUUGCACAUAAAAUAUACACAGGAGAAAAAUCAAAUACAGUGUGCAAACCACACAUAAACAUCUGGACAAAUUUUUAAAAGCACAGAAUCUCACAGAAUCCACUACAGACAUUUCCAAACAGGCAUCACCUAGUGACGGACAAACUCUCCUUCGCCUCCAAGCAGUGAGUAUUUUAUCGAUGUGCCUUCCACUCCAACACCUGUGUCCGUGUCCGUGCAAGUGUCUCCAUCUGGAAAUAACAAAGGCGUCAGUGGAGACUGCACGUCUCUAGCCUCACAGCCAUGGUCCCUCAAGCUGUCCCCAGGCCUGGGCCAGAGGGAGAUGCCGGCUCCACUCAGGCCAGGUGCCCUGGGAUCCCCCCUCCUGCGUUGUACAGCACAUCUGGACCCGGGAGCUGGGAGACAGGGCGCCAGUACAGCAUCACCUUCUUUUCCCCAGUAAGAGUCCUAAGUGACGAAUGUUCGAGUAGAACAAGAGGAAGUGUGACAGGGAGUGCCCAGUGCUCUCACCGGGGAC